AAAUAUACGCUGUGAACAUUCUCUAGCUAGCAUCUAAAAUAACAAUUCCUUAUAAACUUUGCAAUUGGAGCAGACAAAAAUUACAAAUCACAUAUAUAAGGUUAACAACUUGAGAAUCGUUGAAGAGGAACUUGCGAAGCUACAAGUUAAUUCAAAUCUCACUUUUGAGAAUCACUGAUAAGGGAUUGCAUUUUGAACAUCACUGAAGACUGGAAGUGUCCUCUAGACACAUAGUAUUUAGUACUUUUGGAAUCUACACGCCACUUCAAUAACUUCAACUCUAAUGACUAGCAAGACGGCACUCGCAGAGCACGAUGCUCUGCGUCGAGCACCAGCCUCAAGACCACACACACAGCAGCGGAGCAUGGCGCAACCCUUGCACCCCGCAGCCUCUUCUUGUAAGAGUGGGUGGGGGUGAAAGGAGGAGGAGGAGAAGGAGGAGGGGGAAGGGGAGUCAAGGAAGGAAGUCAAGCGAAGUGUGCGGCGCACGUGCUGCCCCCAAAUAUGAAUAUGAAUAUGAAUACGAGAAGAGCGAGAGAGAAUAGUAACUUACUCUAAGGCCCGGGCAUGAUACACAACGAGAUUCUGUGCCCACUUGACGUUCUCCUCCUCGGUGUGGGCAUCGCCAUCGUAGGCUUCCAAAGUGUCAGCCAUGUAGUUGAAGUGCAUUGUCAGCUGGGUGAUCGUGGUGAUGAGCAGCAGAUCGACGCAGACAUACGAGACACCAGCGACAUAGGCGCAAUGGGCCAAUCCCCAAUAGGAGAACCAAUAGACUGUGAUGUCCGUUUCGGCAUCGUAGGGAAAGUAAAUGUGAAAGCCGUAGUUGCGCUCAAAGAUCUCCGAGCCCAUGAAAUAGUAUUUGAUGGUCGACUUGAUGGCCGGAUAAAAGCUGAACGAUGAGGUUAGGCCACAUGAUACGCCUCCUGUUUCUCCUUGGACAUAGGAAAGAUCUCCUUGAGAUCGUCGAGCAGCUUGACCAACGUUCUGCGAUUCAC